GAGUGAAAAAGAGGGAAAGUUGCUGUUUUGAAUAUGAAAUAGAAUGAAAAAUAAAAAUAACCUAAACAGCACUUAAGUGGUUCUGCCACGCACCAUUCGUGGGGCGAACCUUGUUCGCGGCGCGAGCUGAAGCUUUGUAUUCAGUUCGCUGGGCGAACGAUGGUCACGGGGCGAACAGCAGAAAACAGAACCUAAAUUUUUCAAAAUUUAACACAGCAGAAAAUCAACAAAGCAGACUUGAGAAAAUAUAAAAUGCAGACUUACAACGUUGGGUUGCCUCCCAACAAGCGCUUUGUUUAACAUCGUUUAGAGCUCGAUGGUCCAAUGAUUAGCCCGGUCCAGAUAGAGAAA
rnacentral:lncRNA from 1 species